rnacentral:misc_RNA from 1 species
GAUGAAGAACGCAGCGAAAUGCGAUAAGUAAUGUGAAUUGCAGAAUUCAGUGAAUCAUCGAAUCUUUGAACGCACAUUGCGCCCGUCAGUAUUCUGGCGGGCAUGCCUGUUCGAGCGUCAUUACGCCCCUCAAGCCCCCUGUGGACUUGGUGUUGGGGAUCGGCGAGGCUGGUUUUCCAGCACAGCCGUCCCUUAAAUUAAUUGGCGGUCUCGCCGUGGCCCUCCUCUGCGCAGUAGUAAAACACUCGCAACAGGAGCCCGGCGCGGUCCACUGCCGUAAAACCCCCCAACUUUUUAUAGUUGACCUCGAAUCAGGUAGGACUACCCGCUGAACUUAAGCAUAUCAAUAAGCGGAGGA